GCAUGUCAGGACAAGCUGGCGCUGGCAUCUGCUGCUGUAUUGAUUGUCAGGGUUUGUUCAAAAGCUCUGGGCAGCUGAACUGGUGUCUCCUUUCUCUUCACCCGUCAAUAGAUGCUCCCUGAAGGCUUCCUUCCAGCUGAAGACACAGGACAGGAGCAUCAGACAUCCAAUGCCAGGACAUUAGUAGGAAAAUUUCUUGCCACCACAACUACCAGCAGAGCCAGAAAGAGGUCAGUUU
rnacentral:sRNA from 1 species